rnacentral:rRNA from 1 species
UACGUAGGGCGCAAGCGUUAUCCGGAAUUAUUGGGCGUAAAGAGCUCGUAGGCGGUUGUCGCGUCUGCCGUGAAAGUCCGGGGCUCAACUCCGGAUCUGCGGUGGGUACGGGCAGACUAGAGUGAUGUAGGGGAGACUGGAAUUCCUGGUGUAGCGGUGAAAUGCGCAGAUAUCUGGAGGAAUACCGGUGGCGAAGGCGGCAUCCUGGACCAUAACUGACGCUGAGGCGCGAAAGCUAGGGGAGCAAACGGGG